rnacentral:rRNA from 1 species
AGAGUUUGAUCCUGGCUCAGAUUGAACGCUGGCGGCAGGCCUAACACAUGCAAGUCGAGCGGUAGAGAGAAGCUUGCUUCUCUUGAGAGCGGCGGACGGGUGAGUAAUGCCUAGGAAUCUGCCUGGUAGUGGGGGAUAACGUUCGGAAACGGACGCUAAUACCGCAUACGUCCUACGGGAGAAAGCAGGGGACCUUCGGGCCUUGCGCUAUCAGAUGAGCCUAGGUCGGAUUAGCUAGUUGGUGGGGUAAUGGCUCACCAAGGCGACGAUCCGUAACUGGUCUGAGAGGAUGAUCAGUCACACUGGAACUGAGACACGGUCCAGACUCCUACGGGAGGCAGCAGUGGGGAAUAUUGGACAAUGGGCGAAAGCCUGAUCCAGCCAUGCCGCGUGUGUGAAGAAGGUCUUCGGAUUGUAAAGCACUUUAAGUUGGGAGGAAGGGUUGUAGAUUAAUACUCUGCAAUUUUGACGUUACCGACAGAAUAAGCACCGGCUAACUCUGUGCCAGCAGCCGCGGUAAUACAGAGGGUGCAAGCGUUAAUCGGAAUUACUGGGCGUAAAGCGCGCGUAGGUGGUUUGUUAAGUUGGAUGUGAAAUCCCCGGGCUCAACCUGGGAACUGCAUUCAAAACUGACUGACUAGAGUAUGGUAGAGGGUGGUGGAAUUUCCUGUGUAGCGGUGAAAUGCGUAGAUAUAGGAAGGAACACCAGUGGCGAAGGCGACCGCCUGGACUAAUACUGACACUGAGGUGCGAAAGCGUGGGGAGCAAACAGGAUUAGAUACCCUGGUAGUCCACGCCGUAAACGAUGUCAACUAGCCGUUGGAAGCCUUGAGCUUUUAGUGGCGCAGCUAACGCAUUAAGUUGACCGCCUGGGGAGUACGGCCGCAAGGUUGAAACUCAAAUGAAUUGACGGGGGCCCGCACAGCGGUGGAGCAUGUGGUUUAAUUCGAAGCAACGCGAAGAACUUACCAGGCUUGACAUCCAUGAACUUUCCAGAGAUGGAUUGUGCCUUCGGGAACAUUGAGACAGGUGCUGCAUGGCUGUCGUCAGCUCGUG